AACGAACGCUGGCGGCAGGCUUAACACAUGCAAGUCGAGCGCCCGCAAGGGAGCGGCAGACGGGUGAGUAACGCGUGGGAAUCUACCUAGUUCUACGGAACAACACAGGGAAACUUGUGCUAAUACCGUAUACGCCCUACGGGGGAAAGAUUUAUCGGAAUUAGAUGAGCCCGCGUUGGAUUAGCUAGUUGGUGGGGUAAUGGCCUACCAAGGCGACGAUCCAUAGCUGGUCUGAGAGGAUGAUCAGACACACUGGGACUGAGACACGGCCCAGACUCCUACGGGAGGCAGCAGUGGGGAAUAUUGGACAAAGGGCGAAAGCCUGACCCAGCCAUGCCGCGUGAGUGAUGAAGGCCUUAGGGUUGUAAAGCUCUUUCAGUAGGGAAGAUAAUGACGGUACCUACAGAAGAAGCCCCGGCUAACUUCGUGCCAGCAGCCGCGGUAA
rnacentral:rRNA from 1 species